UACGGGGGGAGCAAGCGUUGUUCGGAUUUACUGGGCGUAAAGGGCGCGUAGGCGGCACCGCAAGUCGACUGUGAAAUCUCCGGGCUUAACCCGGAAAGGUCAGCCGAUACUGCGGGGCUAGAGUGCAGAAGGGGCAACUGGAAUUCUCGGUGUAGCGGUGAAAUGCGUAGAUAUCAAGAGGAACACCUGCGGCGAAGGCGGCGACCUGGACAGAUAUUGACGCUGAGGUGCGAAAGCGUGGGGAGCAAACAGG
rnacentral:rRNA from 1 species